rnacentral:sRNA from 2 species
ACCGUGAUAUGAUCUCAAAAGCUUCUUCAUCGGGAUCUAGGGCAAUGAGCUGAGUAGGAACCGAGGUAGAAUGGUCCAUCCAAUGCCGCCUCUUCAGUGGUUCUAGCGUUGAAUUCCUCGACCUGCAAGAUACGUCCGCGAUGCUCUCUGCUCUGCUCCUCAAGUGGAAGGUUCAUUUGCUUUGAUCACAGCAGCAUCAGGUACCUAAUUUUAUCCCAAAAAUGGCCACAACUAGGUGCUACUCAGGAUACAUUGAUAUUGGAUUAUUUUUGUAUAGAGAAUUGAUAGCCAGAUGUCUUGAUAAUAUAACUAUUGUCAAAUAUAAGAGUUCUGGUUAACUAACAAAAGAUACUUUCAGGCUGCAUAUAGACUUCUUUUCAACCUCUCUGUUUCAGAGCACAUCACUCAAUAGCAAUUGAAUCC